rnacentral:rRNA from 1 species
GACGAACGCUGGCGGCGUGCUUAACACAUGCAAGUCGAACGGUGAGGCCCUGCUUUUGUGGGGUGCUCGAGUGGCGAACGGGUGAGUAACACGUGAGUAACCUGCCCUUGACUUUGGGAUAACUUCAGGAAACUGGGGCUAAUACCGGAUAGGAGCUCCUGCUGCAUGGUGGGGGGUGGAAAGUUUCGGCGGUUGGGGAUGGACUCGCGGCUUAUCAGCUUGUUGGUGGGGUAGUGGCUUACCAAGGCGUUGACGGGUAGCCGGCCUGAGAGGGUGACCGGCCACAUUGGGACUGAGAUACGGCACAGACUCCUACGGGAGGCAGCAGUGGGGAAUAUUGCAGAAUGGGCGGCAGCCUGAUGCAGCAAGGCCGCGUGCGGGAUGACGGCCUUCGGGUUGUAAACCGCUUUCGCCUGUGACGAAGCGUGAGUGACGGUAAUGGGUAAAGAAGCACCGGCUAACUACGUG